rnacentral:rRNA from 1 species
AAAUGAAUAGACGGGGACCCGCACAAGCGGUGGAGCGUGUGGUUUAAUUCGAUGCUAAGCGAAGGACCUUACCAAGGUUUGACAUGCUAAUGGUAGUGAAUUGAAAGAGGAACGACCACACUAUGUGUGGAGUUAGCACAGGUGGUGCACGGCCGUCGUCAGCUCGUGUCGUGAGGUGUUGGGUUAAGUCCCGCAACGAGCGCAACCCCUGCUCUUAGUUACCAGCGGUAAGGCCGGGUACUCUAGGAGGACCGCCGCCGACGAGGCGGAGGAAGGGGGGGAUGAAGUCAGGUAUCGUGCCCCUUAUAUCUUGGGCGACACACGCGCUACAAUGGGUUGGACAGAAGGGACCAAGACAGCGAUGUGGAGGAAAUCCUCAAACCAACCCCCAGUUCAGAUUGCAGGCUGCAACCCGCCUGCAUGAAGCCGGAAUCGCUAGUAAUCGCAGAUCAGCCAAGCUGCGGUGAAUACGUUCCCGGGUCUUGUACACACCGCCCGU